rnacentral:rRNA from 1 species
GAUAAACGCUGGCGGCGUGCCUAACACAUGCAAGUCGAACGAUCCCGCAAGGGAGAGUGGCGGAAGGGUGAGUAACACGUGGGAAUCUACCUCCUCGCAGGGAACAACCUCUCGAAAGAGAGGCUAAUACCCAAAGGGUCAGAAAUGAUCAGAGUCGAAAGGCGUGAGGAGAGGAGCCAGCGGCCCAUCAGCUAGUUGGUGAGGUAAUGGCUUACCAAGGCUACGACGGGUAGGGGAUCUGAGAGGAUGUCCCCCACACUGGAACUGAAACACGGUCCAGACGCCUACGGGUGGCAGCAGUGAGGAAUAUUGGACAAUGGGCGAAAGCCCGAUCCAGCAACGCCGCGUGGAGGAUGAAGGCCUUCGGGUCGUAAACUUCUUUAGAGGGAGACGAGAAAGGACGGUAUCCCUAGAAUAAGCGACGGCAAACUACGUGCCAGCAGCCGCGGUAAU